CCCUUAGAUGUUCUGGGCUGCACACGUGCUACACUGGCAGGUUCAGCGAGCUUCAUGCCCUGAUCUGAAAGGAAUGGGAAAUCUUUUCAAAACCUGCCGUGCUUGGGAUAGAUGUUUGCAAUUAUUCAUCUUCAACGAGGAUUGCCUUGUAAGCGCACGUCAUCAGCGUGCAUUGAAUACGACCCUGUAUUCUGUACACACCGCCCGUCGCUCCUACCGAUUGAAGGUUUCGGUGAGUUGACAGGAGGAUUUUUUUGAAACUGGUUCGCCAGUGGAUUUUAGAUCCAAAUGCCAACGAAUCGAUGGAUUUAGAGGAAGGAGAAGUCGUAACA
rnacentral:rRNA from 1 species